rnacentral:misc_RNA from 1 species
GAUGAAGAACGCAGCGAAAUGCGAUAAGUAAUGUGAAUUGCAGAAUUCAGUGAAUCAUCGAAUCUUUGAACGCACAUUGCGCCCCUUGGUAUUCCGAUGGGCAUGCCUGUUCGAGCGUCAUUAUCACCCCUCAAGCUUUGCUUGGUGUUGGGGCCUGCUGUAAUAGGCAGCCCUUAAAAUCAGUGGCGGUGCUUCAAGGCUCUAAGCGUAGUAAUUCUCCUCGCUAUAGUGUCUAGUGGUUGCCAGCCAGAACCCCCCAUUUUUUAUGAUUGACCUCGGAUCAGGUAGGGAUACCCGCUGAACUUAAGCAUAUCAAUAAGCGGAGGA